rnacentral:lncRNA from 1 species
UUUUGGCUCAAAGUUGGUAACUUGAAUUACCAAGACAGAUUUAAGUUGAUUUUUGGUCAACUUUAGAAAUUCGGAAAAAUUCACUUGUUUUGAACUAACCUUUGAAAUUUGGAAAUCAAUUAGUGUUGCAAUCCAAGAGUAUAACAAAAGAAGCGGAACGAGAAACGGAGUUUCGAGCACCAAGAUAUAGUUCCUCCAAGUUGCUGAAAAAGUUAAGACUGUUGGGCUAUUUUCCAGGUUUAAAAACUAGAUUCGAAGUAUCAUUUGGUCAUCGAGUUAGCAUUGGAAAUACAUCAACUUGGUACACUAAAUCUUCCAUGUGUGAAAAACAUUUCUACCAAGUUUCGUACAAAAACUCUCACGAUAAGGUAGUCAUUAAAACAACCAAAGUUUAUGAAGAGUUUCAAGGCUAAACUACCUUCUCACUUUUCUUUUGUUUACAAACUUUUUGUACCAUGAAAUCAGUUCCAAAUCUCUCCAUUAUUGAAACCAAGAGUUCAUAAACAUCCACUGAGCAAUUUAAAGACCAUUGACAUCCAAAUUCUAGAAAUAAAACUCUCCAAAUCAGAUUUGACCAUUUGGCUAAGAGAAAACGAAAAGUUUUCCAGAUUCGAUGAGCAAAUUUUGUGACAUCAUUUGCAUAUCAAAAUGGUCUUAGAAUAUUACCAAAUUUUGUACAAUUAAACCUCCAUAUGAGGAUUACUCUUCUAUCAAAUUUCAUUUGAAAAUUCACACGGGAAGGUAGUUAACUAAACCAUCAAAGUUCAGGAAAUUUCCCAAGGUAAAACUUUCUUCUAGCUCUUCUUUCCUUUUUAAACAUUUUGUCCAAAGCAACCAACCCAAAUCUGGUUUAUUUGUGAAACAAAGUCCAAGGAACAUCUAAUCUAAAGUUUGGUAGAUGUCGGACAUCAAAGUUUCCAAAACAACAAGUCCCAAAUCAUUGUUAGUUACAAAUCUGUCCAAGUGGAAAAUUCUAUCACUGUAGCAGUUUCAAACUUUGGCCACAACUCACUCCAUUCAACUUGGAAUUGGGCGUGGUUGAUGGCGUUGGAAAGCUCUCUUCUAAAGCUGAAUUUUCUCAGAAGAAACCAUUUCAAAUUCCAUUCACAAAUAGCUCGUUUUUGAGCAUCAAGAAGCAAUUUCUGUCCUGUCUCCUGGAGAGCAACGAAACAGGACAGUGAUAUUCAAUCGAAUGGUGUGGCUCACUCAAGUGGAACCAGAAUGUGAAAUUGGUACCGAUGGAAAGCUAGGAAUGUCUAGUUUCCAAUGCCGCAAACGGCACUUGAUUUCGACAUCGGAACAAAGAGUUAUGGCCGUUACAAAAUGACUGCCUGGGCAAUACGGGAUUCAUUUUCCAGUUUUGCUAACUUUGGAAAUCAACUCAUUUGACCAACCAAAUCAUGUUAUUUUUCAAUGAAAUUUUGUACACACUUACAAUAAUAGAUAAACAACAUAAUCAAUUCAUUAGAAUCUCAAAAUCUGGCACGAAAACGGUCGGACAAGGCAGGGGUAAAACGGUCACUUUUGCUCCAAGCACCUCCUUUGAUUUUCUACCAACAAUACAACAUUAAUCUACUAAUAUAAGCACUAAACCACCAUUAAUUUCAUCAUCCAACAUCAAAUCAGCAACAACCCAAGAGUGGGAGUUCAUAGAGCCCACACACACAAAUCCACCAUAAACAAGACCACCCACAUGCAUGCAAGAGUUUAUACGUGUAAUAGAGCUUCCGUAAACUAAGAUUCAAGGAGUUGAUCGUCCAUUACCUCUCUUGAUAAACUAGGACAGAAUUUCGGCCCCUUAGAUGCUCAAGAAAACCGUGGAUAGCAGCCCUCUUUCUUAGCUUGAUGUAAUCUCCAAGUAAUUAGCUAAGAGUGGUUGAAAUUUGAAGUGAAAUGGAGAAGAUUUGGUGAAGAAAUUUGGAUGGAAUUUGAGUUGUUUUUCUCCUUUGUUAGCCGGCCAAAUGAGGGAGCAAGAGAGAGAGUGUGGUCAGAUUUCUAAGCUUCCAAGAGAAGACAAUAACUUGUGGCCACAAAUCACCCAUUAGUCAACUCACAUUAGGGUGCGUUUGGCGCGAUUCGGCUCAAUUCCUCUUGCGUUUGUUUCACUAGUGUACUAAACUUCUAAUGCAUUUAUAUUCAUAUAAAUAUUAUUCACUCUUAAUUGUCCUCAAAUAAGGGUCUAAAGUUCCUCAAUUUAAAUUGCGCGUGUGAAAACGCGUAUCUCCAAUUUAAGCGCAAUAACGCGAAACUUUCGAGAAAUUCUUAUAACGAUAGUACUAAUAACUAUCACUUGAGUAUUUAAACAUUAAAAUGCCUAAUUUAGAUCCAUUGUACAUGUCUCCAAUAUUUCAAACCUAUUGUACUCUCAAUCGAUCAAGAUUUCCAAAGACGUGUUCACUAUUUUUACAAAACGAGCUUCCGAAAAAUUAAUUUUUGAAACAAGUCAUUUUAAAAAUAUAAUGAAACUAUAUUUCCAUGUAAUUAGGUCUCAAGAGCUUAGAAAAUAAUAUUCGGAGUAAAAGACCAAAUAAAUAAUUAAAUAAGUUAGAAAUAGGAGAUUAAAUAAGUAAAUUUUGCGAGUCCUCACAACCUCCCCUCCUUAAAAGAAUUUCGUCCUCGAAAUUCAUACCUUCUGUAAUCUCAGACAACUCUGAACCGUGUGGUGUGUUCAUGUCAUGCGUUCUUUCAGAUGCCAUUGGUCGGUUUCUCCUUCCAUUGACUUGUCGAGGAACAGUUCCAUUUCCUUGUUGAGCAGUAGUUUCUCGUGGAUACCUCUUUGGACAGUCAUGAGCUUUAUGAUUGGUACUCCCACAUCCCAUACACUUUCGUCCCUUUAGCCAACAGUUUUCUUCAGUGUGAUUCGUCCUUCCACAAUAUCCACAAGUCGGACGAGGUGUUGUGACCUGACUUGCUUGCGAGGUUUUCUUUGAUCGUGUUUGUCCUACUGAAGUCCCUCGUGACAUAGUUCCUUUAGGUUCCUUUAUCAUGAGUGGUGUAGGAAGUAACAGUCCUACUUCAUCCACUUCUUUUCUAACUUUGGGUGGUGGUCCAUUUUUUCCUAGCGUACUGUCAGAUGUAUCUCUUUUCCUUUUUUGAAAAGCUCUCAGUUGAGAUUUUGUGCUUUCUACUCUUUGCGCUUUUUCAAGAGCGUCACUAAAUGUUUCAACCUGUGCUGCGGCAAGGGCAUCUUGGAUUUCCAAAUCUAAUCCUUGGAUAAACCGUCUUAUUCUCUUCCGUUCAGUAGCCACCAAUUCUGGGGCAUAUGUAGAUAACUUCGUAAAGCGUGUUUCAUACUCAGCUACGCUUAAAGUUCCUUGACGAAGCUUUAUAAAAUCAUCUUCUCUCUUUUCUUGGACAAGUGGAGGAAGAAAUUUCUCAUUAAAUUCACGCACGAAGUUUAACCAAAUUCUCGGAGUUUGAUCUCUUUCCCACUUAUUUCUUAUAACAUUCCACCAUGCUCGGGCUACUCCUUCAAGUUGAAAUACAGCAAAUGUGACUUGUCUCUCCUCUGUGUAAUCCAAGGCAUCGAAUAUAUUUCUUAUAUUUUCUAACCAAUUCUCAGCCACCUCUGGAUCAGGCCCUCCAGCAAACUUGGGCGGAGAGAAUUUCUGAAACCGCUCUAAAGCUCGAUCCUCCCCUAUCUCUUGGUUUCCACGUUGGUUUCCUUGUCCAACACCUUGACCUUGUUGAGCUACCAAGAGCUCUAGGAUAUCCGUCAUGCGAGUUAAAACUUGUCCUAUCUGGUCAUUUCCUCUCCCAGCACUUAGCUCAACGUUUUGAUCGAUAUCGGACCCAUUAGCUACUCUUUCAUUUCGGGGUUGUCUAGGUUGACGUCCCUUUCGUUGUCCUCUAGUUUCCAUGUCCACAACUAAUCUAUACGCACAUGCAUAACCCUCACACUUAGUUAAAAUUGAACUACACUCAUAUACCAGUAGCAACAUUUAAAGAGGAUGAAGACACUUUCACAAAUAACAUUAUCACUAUGCAAGUAAACACAAACUAGAGUUCAUUAAAUCAUAACACAAAUUAUGGCCAAGUAAAGUUCAUGCCAAGUCAAAGUCAAUAACAAAAAUAAACAAGUGAUUAUCACAAGUACAUUCAUCUCCAAGGCGCAAACUCUUAAGUUCUACUCCCAUCGUCUCACUAUGAAAGAUCACCAGUAGAGAUUCACUAGAUUAAUUGGAACUAGACGAUUCUCGUUCCCUAACAUGCUCGAUUUCAAUCCCAACACAAGGAUCUUUUGGGUUACGAUAUUUUUAAUCUUUCACUCUUAAUUAUUGUACCAUCUUAACCAAACAAUUAUUGGUUUCCUGUAACCAUUCACAUGAAAUAUCGAUUCAUUCUUAUUCCCCACAAAUGGAGAUAUAAAGUCCCUAUGGUUGCUUUCCACUCCCAAGUACUCGGGUUCAAGAAUCCAAAAUAGGAUAAUUCACAUCUCGAGCCGGCCGGUCCCAAGAGUAAAUCACCACAUUCGAGAUUCCUACCCAACAUACAUAUCAAAUUCCCUCCAAUUAUCAAGAUAAAGGUUUUACAACCUAUAACAUUCAUGAUUCACAACUUACAUUUCUAGAAGGGCACUUAAGUCUUUACUUAAUCACAUAGUAAGGACCAAACACCACUUGGCCCUAUCUUGCUCCUUUGUAGAGACCACGUGAAGUGGCUCUAAAUUUCAUCACUACAAGCAAUCAUUUAACUUUCAGAAUAGUCCCACAGUCCGGCAUCCUAAACAUUUAAGCCUAGGAUACACUACAAAAUCUGAAGCCUAAGCUCUGAUACCAAUUGUAACGCCCCCACUUCUCCCUAAGGCGAACCAAAGGGUAUCCGCGGGACGCCUGCCCAGCUCUCGCCAGGACUCACUACAAUCCAUCAUUCAAAAGCUCGAAAUACUUUAAGUAACUUCAAUACAUAAUUAAAGUACUCCAAAUAUCUCACACUUACAAUUAUGCAGCUUCCAAGCUUAAAUACAACCCAACGGAAAAGGGUACAAUAGCCAUCCGUUAUAAUAUAACUUAAAGUUUUCAAAAGGAAACAAUCUAGUACUACUCAUGAGCACCCUUGGUCUCGAACCCUGUAAAAGAAAACCAUAACGUGGGAUGAGCUACACAGCCCAGUGAGGUUCCAAUACACUCUAACAGUUCAAAUAAAUCAAGUAAGUUGGGUAUUCAUAUGAUUGGAUUCAAUGUUACACAAUGGCGUGUUUAUCAUGAGGUGAUAAUCAUUGUACGUAGUAAUUUGAGACAUGAUCAUGAGACAGUAUAUAAUAUAAGUGCAUUGGUCAGGUAACGAGUAUGGAGCAUAUCACAGGCAUUAGAUUCAGGAUUUCAUGUUGACCAUUUUAGCAUGAACAAUUAUCAUUUGAUACAAGGUAAAAACAUAUACGGUAGGAUACGGUGUUCCAGUGGAAACUUGUUCCGUCAUCGUGCCACUUCAUGACUUCUGAUCCCCACGGUACGGGUCUGGCCAUCGCCUUAUUCCCUCCAGUGGUAAUUACUCGAGGAUACCGAAUACGGUUGUCCAGGGUUCCAACUACGCGACGAGCCCAAGUCCUGGCUCGAGUAGGUCGAGUACCGGCGGGCCCAAGUUCAGCUUAUGCUUACAAGCAAUGCCGGUAACCAAGUAAUUCGACAAAGGUUAAAAUUCAUCAUUUUGAGUAGGUCGAGUGAGGUAAAGUACACACUUCGCCUGAAUAAUGACUGGACAGCUUCAUAUACAUGUGAUUCAGGAUACAUCAAGUAAUCAGGUGGUCAAGUAACCAGUAAGUUUGGUGAUCACGUAAGCAGAUAAAAGUAAGCAAGUAACCCAAAUAGCUUAGAAAACGGGUAAGUAUACACCGUUAAACGGUAACGUAACGGUUAACGGUGGUAAUUAACGGUUAAUUGGUAGACAUAUGUCAUUUCAAUAGGGCCGCCAUUGGCCGUUUUUCACUUUCACCACGUAAGAGUCGAGGAGAUUUACUCCAACCGACUUAUGCUUCCAUAGCAUAAUUAAUCAUUUAAACACAUCAUGUAAAUAUGCUCUACAAACAUUUCAUAUCUAGUAUUUCAAGUAAUCACAUAAUUAUGCUCUUUAAGCAUUUCAUAUCGAAUAGUUCAAGUAGUCAUGUAAAUAUGCUCUUCAAGGGUUUCAUAUCGAAUAGUUCAAAUAUACAUACUUCAGGUGUUUCAUGUCGAGUAAUUCAAGUAUACACUAUUCAAAUAUGUAUGAGUGUGGUAAAUACUUAACAUAUAGCACUUAACACCUAAUGACCAGGGGUUAAGCAUGUCAUAGACUUAUUCCAAUUACGUAUUCCUAUAUGGAACACUCACCUAGUCAAAACAAGCGAGUAGUUCUUAAACAAGCAUCUUAGGUGUCCGCUCCGAGUUCCUCUGGGAGAUUCCCUCGAGUGCCUGAGCAAACAAUAAUCAACUACCACUCAAAAUCAUUCUAAUUAUCGAGGAAAAUUGUACACUAGUACAAUCUAAGAAAUUAACGCAGAGACGAGUCUAAGAGUUCGUGUAACUCGAGGUUCAAAAGUGGGUUUUAAAAUACAAGACAAAUCUGAUUUCCAUCUCUGAAAUCAAAUGUAAAACGAUCAAAUGAUAUUGAAGGAAAAUGGAGGGUUUGAAACCCUUAGUUUCCUUUAAGUUAGAAAAUUCCAGAUUUAACAAGCAAUAUUUGAAAAAUCAUAUUUCACUCUCCACAAGUCCAAAAUUGGAAACCUUGGUACUGUUGGAAUCCUCUUUCAAAGUACUAAAAGUUCUUAGAAGACACUUUUCAAUGAUUCCCAGUGGAAGGCAUUCAAAUUUAGGCUCAAAAUCGGUAACUUGAAUUACCAAGACAGAUUUAAGUUGGUUUUUGGCCAACUUUAGAAAUUCGGCAAAAUUCACUUGUUUUGAACUGACCUUUGAAAUUUGGAAAUCAAUUAGUGUUGCAAUCCAAGAGUAUAACAAAACAAGCGGAACGAGAAACGGAGUUUCGAGCACCAAGAUAUAGUACCUCCAAGUUGCUGAAAAAGUUAAGACUGUUGGGCUAUUUUCCAGGUUUAAAACUAGAUUUGAAAUAUCAUUUGGUCAUCAAGUUGGCAUUAGAAAUACAUCAAACUUGGUACACUAAAUCUUCCAUGUGUGAAAAACAUUUCUACUAAGUUUCGUACAAAAACUCUCACGGUAAGGUAGUCAUUAAAACAACCAAAGUUUAUGAAGAGUUUCAAGGCUAAACUACCUUCUCACUUUUCUUUCGUUUACAAACUUUUUGUACCAUGAAAUCAGUUUCAAAUCACUCCAUUAUUGAAACCAAGAGUUCAUAAACAUCCACUGAGCAAUUUAAAGACCAUUGACAUCCAAAUUCUAUAAAUAAAACUCUCC